UCAUUCUGAAAGUUAAACCAUAAAUUAGAAGCAAAUUUAACAAUAAUAAACCGGAAUUUGUCAAUCGCGGUUAUUCAAGCAUCUGCAUACAAAAUUAGUAUGAUAUAUAGAAAAGGAGUCUUGUGUAGGUUAAGUCGUUACAGAAGUAUCGAUAAACUUAAAGAAAGAAGUCGAGAUAAGAAUAAUUCAAUGGAUGGUGAUAUUAUUACCUUACAGUCUUUGGUUUUUUGAGUCUUGAUAAAAGUUGAGGGGUUGCCUUGUCAACUUAAAGCCAGAUGCUGCUCAAACAAUUUUCAAGCUGGAGCGGCAAAUCCUGCAGGCCGGAGGGACGGUUCCCUUAAUAGAAUCAUGCCAUUGAUAUUGCCCUGCUAUGGAAACAAUAGGUCGAAAGCCAACGAGUUAGAAUGCUUUUUCUUAUUAUUUAGCUACUUUGGCUGCUAGAUUCUGUUUAUGUAAUGUAGCUCUAAAAAUUGCACAUAUGGAAUGUCAGAAGAUCAGUAGUGUCGGCCAAGCAGAGUGUCUUGCCUAGUCUCUGUGCAUUUUACCUCAUCUACAUUUCAUUGUUUGCUCACAAAUUUCUUACCUCUAGUUGUUGUUAUUUGUUAAUCUUGUUUUCUCUUAAUUGGUCUUUUCUUCAUUUUAUAACCCGAGUUUUAGUUUUUCAUUUCCUUUCUUCGCCCCUGGUUAAGGGAUGAGAUCAAUGGUCUAGCUACAUGGCACUGAAAAUGUAUCGCAGUGUGAAUAAGUCGAUAGAGUCCGACAGUUCUACCAGUAUAUCAAAAUUUUGUAAUUUUCAGUUAUAGUUAAUUACAUUUUAUUACA